rnacentral:ncRNA from 1 species
GAGCUGGGUUCAGAACGUCGUGAGACAGUUCGGUCCCUAUCUGUCGUGGGCGCAGGAAAUUUGAGAAGAGCUGUCCUCAGUACGAGAGGACCGGGAUGGACGCAUCAAUGGUGGACCAGUUGUCACGCCAGUGGCAUAGCUGGGUAGCUAAAUGCGGAAGGGAUAAACGCUGAAGGCAUCUAAGUGUGAAACCCACUUCAAGAUGAGAUUUCCCAUUGCGCAAGCAAGUAAGACCCCUUAAAGACGAUAAGGUAGAUAGGUCAGGAGUGUAAGCAUGGUGACAUGUUAAGCGGACUGAUACUAAUAGGUCGAGGGCUUGACCGA